rnacentral:rRNA from 1 species
CAUUUAAAGAGUGCGUAAUAGCUCACUAGUCGAGUGACCCUGCGCCGAAAAUGUACCGGGGCUAAACAUAUUACCGAAGCUGUGGAGUACACCUUUAGGUGUAUUGGUAGGAGAGCGUUCUAAGGGCGUUGAAGGCAGAUCGUGAGGACUGCUGGAGCGCUUAGAAGUGAGAAUGCCGGUAUGAGUAGCGAAAGACAGGUGAGAAUCCUGUCCACCGAAUGACUAAGGUUUCCUGGGGAAGGCUCGUCCGCCCAGGGUUAGUCGGGACCUAAGCCGAGGCCGACAGGCGUAGGCGAUGGAUAACAGGUUGAUAUUCCUGUACCCGUUGUUUUUGUUUGAGCAAUGGAGGGACGCAGGAGGCUAAGGAAUGCAGACGAUCGGAAAUGUCUGUCCAAGCAGUAAGUCUGAAGAGGAGU